UACGUAGGGGGCAAGCGUUGUCCGGAAUCAUUGGGCGUAAAGAGCGUGUAGGCGGCUCGGUAAGUCCGCUGUGAAAGUCCAGGGCUCAACCCUGGAAUGCCGGUGGAAACUGUCGAGCUAGAGUCCGGAAGAGGCGAGUGGAAUUCCUGGUGUAGCGGUGAAAUGCGUAGAGAUCGGGAGGAACACCAGUGGCGAAGGCGACUACCUGGACCAGCACUGACACUGAGGCACGAAAGCGUGGGGAGCAAACAGG
rnacentral:rRNA from 1 species